rnacentral:rRNA from 1 species
GGUUAUUAGUUUAUUUAUUUUUUUAUAUUUUUUAUUUUAUUAGAAAUAACUUAUUUUUAAGUAGGGUUUACUGAAUUAAUUUUUUUAAUUAUAGCUAAUUGUACUGUGUAGGAUUACUUUUAAUUGAAUAUAAGUAGUUUUAAUUUGAUGUACCUUUUGUAUCAGGGUUGAUUAAAUUUUAUUAUUUAUAUAAUUUUCCCGAAAUUGAAGGAGAUAAAAUAGGGUGUUAGUUAAUGUGACAUAAUUAUUGAUUAUCCUAUUUUAGUAACGAAAAGUUAUUCGUCUUUAAAUAUCUGGUUUUUCAGGAAUUAAAUUUAAUUUAGGAUUAUUAAUUGACAUUUUUAAUAUUUAAUUUAAUUUGUUUUAAUGUUCUAAGAUUCUCGGGGAUAAGCUCGGGUUUUAUUUCUAUAAUUAUAAUUUUUUUUGUAAAUAUUGUAGGCUUAGAAUCAGCCAUCAAUAAAGUUCGUUAUAGAUUAUUUUUCCAUUCAUUUUAUUUUUUAUUAAUUUAGAUUUAUACUGAAAUAAUUCAAUUAAUUUAAUAUUGUUUGUGAUAAUGAUUAAAUUAGUAUAUUUGAUAUUUAGAGUGUAGGAAUUCGGCAAAUAUUAUACUCGCCUGUUUAACAAAAACAUGUUCUUUUGUAUAAUUUAUAUAAGAUUUGGCCUGCCCAAUGAAUCUUUUUUAAUGGCCGCGGUAUUUUAACCGUGCUAAGGUAGCAUAAUCAUUUGUCUUUUAAUUAAGGGCUAGUAUGAAGGGUCGGACGAGGUAUAUUCUUUCUUCAUUCUUAAUAUUGUAAUUUAUCUUUUUAGUUAAAAGACUAAAAUUUAUUUAUGGGACGAGAAGACCCUAUAGAUCUUUAUAUUUAAUUUAAUUAGAUUAUUUAGUUAUAUUUAUUAGUUAUUUAAUUAAAUUAUUUAUUUGGUUGGGGUGAUUGCAGGAAUUUUAUAACUCCUGUUUAUAUAAUUCAUUAAUUAGUGUUUAGAUGAUCCAUUAUUAUUGAUUAUAAGAUUAAGUUACCUUAGGGAUAACAGCGUAAUUUUCUCGGAGAGUUCUUAUCGAUGAGGGAGUUUGCGACCUCGAUGUUGGAUUAAAAUAAGUAUUAGGCGUAGCCGUUUAAUUACUAGGUCUGUUCGACCUUUAAUUUUUUACAUGAUCUGAGUUCAGACCGGCGUAAGCCAGGUCGGUUUCUAUCUAUAAUAGUUUAACUAUAAUUUAGUACGAAAGGACCAAUUAUAGGGGAUAAUCUUUUUUUAUUGAUUAAUAUU